ACGGAAGGCAGCAGUGGGGAAUAUUGCACAAUGGAGGAAACUCUGAUGCAGCGACGCCGCGUGAGUGAAGAAGUAUUUCGGUAUGUAAAGCUCUAUCAGCAGGAAAGAAAAUGACGGUACCUGACUAAGAAGCCCCGGCUAACUACGUGCCAGCAGCCGCGGUAAUACGUAGGGGGCAAGCGUUAUCCGGAUUUACUGGGUGUAAAGGGAGCGUAGACGGCGAAGCAAGUCUGAAGUGAAAGCUCGGGGCUCAACCCCGGAACUGCUUUGGAAACUGUUUUGCUGGAGUGCAGGAGAGGUAAGCGGAAUUCCUAGUGUAGCGGUGAAAUGCGUAGAUAUUAGGAGGAACACCAGAGGCGAAGGCGGCUUACUGGACUGUAACUGACGUUGAGGCUCGAAGGCGUGGGGAGCAAACAGGAUUAGAUACCCUGGUA
rnacentral:rRNA from 1 species